GUACAGGUGUGAAAUGACUGACAAUAGAUCUCAGAAGUAUGAGAGCACUUUUUUAACAUAUAUCAAGCAUUUAGGAGAGUGCUAGAAUAUAUUUGUAGCUACUGUGCACCAGAGGCGAGGGAUAAAUGCAUUUAGGAAAUUACUUUAGAGUUCUGGACCGAAAUGCAGUCUUCUGAUUGGCAUGUCAGUAAUGCCAAGGAAAUGAACAGCUCCAGACCUGCUUAGAAGACCUUGCUGAAAGUGAGAGUUCCAGUGCACUUCCAUAUUCUAUAUCAGAGAUAGAAGAGAUCAGAUGGGGUGUCACAUACUGUGCUAGCCUAUUCAACGCAGGUCUCUUGGUAUGAAAACUCUGUGACCUAUGUGUAUGUGCCAAAAAGAACUGGUACAUCUUCAAGGGUGAUAAACCAGAGCAGAAUGGUCCAAACAUCUGGUACUUGCGAAUUCAGAGGAGACUCAGGAUUGGAAGGACUACUGGUGUCACCCUACAAGGAGUAAUUAGUAGAGCUCUGCACAGAUACAAAAACAGAUGUGGAUAUAAAGCAGAUAUCUACAGAUUUUCAGGAUUGCAGGAUUCUAGAUACAAAAUCUGUAUCCACAUCUACAUCUCAGAAAUGAGCUGCAGAUAUCAGCAUCUACAUCUGUGGAUGUGGAUACCCACAGAUAGCGGAUAGCUGCAGAUUUUCAGGACUCUAAUACUUAGGCUUGUGUUGAGGUUUGGCUACUAUUGUUAGGAUAUUGAACCAUAGCUGUGAGACAUUAAGGAUCCCUGGCUUACAGGGUAGGGAGUGACAGAAACCUAUAUCAGCUCCCCAAAGUAUCAGAACAUUUUGUAAAAUCAUUGUUUCAUAGUUAAUUGCUUUUGUGGCAAUUAAAAAUAGUCAAAUACAAUAAA